CUCCGAACUCCCGAACUGGAACCUCACGAAUAGCUGCUAGCAGCUGAACAGGAAAAGCACCCAAGCGGCUUACACUCCUGGCAAUCAGUCUCUAACAGCAUACAGUAAAUCCAUCCAAGAAUGAGACAAAGCUCCGUGUGCUGUGGGUUUAUUGUUCUUAUAUACACAUUAGUACCACCCACAGGGUUUUGGAAAACAACCAAUAAACACGUACAAUACACUCAGACACUACCACACAAAAUCCUCCCCUCUGCCUGUCAUACAAUUACCUUACACAAUGGGUAAUAUAAUUAUCACAGACAGAGAAAUACAGUUUUUCCACAUUAUUCAUAACUUUAAAAGUAUGCAUCACAUUCACAUUUCAUACAUUUUCAGAAUCAGCAUACUAAAAAUACGAACAUAUGUCAAAAUCAACCACAUUGGUCCAUUGGUUCAAAAGAUAGAUCGAAGUCCUUUGUGACCAAAUGAAGCAUGGCUUUUCUGCCCAAAACCAGUUCCACAGAGUCUUCUAUCCUGGAGAUAAUUGGGAAGUAAUCCAAUUAUCUCCAAGGAGAGAGGAAAAACUCCAUUAAGCACAUGGCAGUAAAAAGACAGUAAAAUACAUAAAAUACACAAGGUUACAUUUAUUACAUAAAAUACAGACAUGCAACAUAUCCCCAGAUAGCUAAGGUCUGAG